rnacentral:rRNA from 1 species
GCAUAUCAAUAAGCGGAGGAAAAGAAACCAACAGGGAUUGCCUCAGUAACGGCGAGUGAAGCGGCAACAGCUCAAAUUUGAAAUCUGGCCUUCCGGUCCGAGUUGUAAUUUGCAGAGGAUGCUUCGGGCGCGGUGCCUUCCAAGUCCCCUGGAACGGGGCGCCGGAGAGGGUGAGAGCCCCGUACGGUUGGCGGCCAAGCCUGUGUGAAGCUCCUUCGACGAGUCGAGUAGUUUGGGAAUGCUGCUCUAAGCGGGAGGUAGACCCCUUCUAAAGCUAAAUAUUGGCCAGAGACCGAUAGCGCACAAGUAGAGUGAUCGAAAGAUGAAAAGCACUUUGAAAAGAGGGUUAAACAGCACGUGAAAUUGUUGAAAGGGAAGCGCUUGCGACCAGACGUGCGCCGGGGUGCUCAGCGGGCGUUCUCGCCCGUGCACUCGCCCCGGUGCAGGCCAGCGUCGGUUUGGGCGGGGGGAUAAAGGCGCCUGGAAUGUGGCUCCCUCGGGAGUGUUAUAGCCAGGCGUGCCAUGCCUCCGCCCGGACCGAGGUACGCGUUCUGCAAGGACGCUGGCGUAAUGGUCCCCAGCGACCCGUCUUGAAACACGGACCAAGGAGUCGAGGUUUUGCGCGAGUGUUUGGGUGGAAAACCCGCACGCGUAAUGAAAGUGAACGUAGGUGAGAGCUUCGGCGCAUCACCGACCGAUCCUGAUGUUUUCGGAUGGAUUUGAGUAAGAGCGUAGGGCCUCGGACCCGAAAGAUGGUGAACUAUGCUUGGAUAGGGUGAAGCCAGAGGAAACUCUGGUGGAGGCUCGCAGCGGUUCUGACGUGCAAAUCGAUCGUCAAAUCUGAGCAUGGGGGGCGAAAGACUAAUCGAACCAUCUAGUAGCUGGUUACCGCCGAAGUUUCCCC